rnacentral:rRNA from 1 species
CAAAUGUUGAAAAUGCACCCAGGGGAAAUGUGUAAUGUUGAAGAAGAAUGUUGGGUGCCGGGCCGGCGGGGGUUUAAGUUCCACUGGAAAGUGGCGACCACAGAAGGGUGACAGCCCCGUGAACCCCUUCCAACGCCUUCAUCCCAGAUCUCCAAGAGUCGAGUUGUUUGGGAAUGCAGCUCUAAGUGGGUGGUAAAUUCCAUCUAAAGCUAAAUACCGGCGAGAGACCGAUAGCGAACAAGUACAGUGAUGGAAAGAUGAAAAGCACUUUGAAAAGAGAGUGAAAAAGUACGUGAAAUUGUUGAAAGGGAAGGGCUUGCGGGCGUACACUUAACUGGGGCCGUCAUCCGGGCGGCGGGGAACCAACCAGCGGGGAAUGUAUCUCUCCAAGAUAAUAUUCCC